AGAUUAAGUUAUUAAGGGCGCACGGUGGAUGCCUUGGCACUAGAAGCCGAUGAAGGACGUUACUAACGACGAUAUGCUUUGGGGAGCUGUAAGUAAGCUUUGAUCCAGAGAUUUCCGAAUGGGGAAACCCAGCAUGAGUUAUGUCAUGUUAUCGAUAUGUGAAUACAUAGCAUAUCAGAAGGCACACCCGGAGAACUGAAACAUCUUAGUACCCGGAGGAAGAGAAAGAAAAUUCGAUUCCCUUAGUAGCGGCGAGCGAAACGGGAAGAGCCCAAACCAAAAAGCUUGCUUGUUGGGGUUGUAGGACACUCUAUACGGAGUUACAAAGGACGACAUUAGACGAAUCAUCUGGAAAGAUGAAUCAAAGAAGGUAAUAAUCCUGUAGUCGAAAAUGUUGUCUCUCUUGAGUGGAUCCUGAGUACGACGGAGCACGUGAAAUUCCGUCGGAAUCUGGGAGGACCAUCUCCUAAGGCUAAAUACUCUCUAGUGACCGAUAGUGAACCAGUACCGUGAGGGAAAGGUGAAAAGCACCCCGGAAGGGGAGUGAAAUAGAACCUGAAACCGUGUGCUUACAAGUAGUCAGAGCCCGUUAAUGGGUGAUGGCGUGCCUUUUGUAGAAUGAACCGGCGAGUUACGAUUUGAUGCAAGGUUAAGCAGUAAAUGUGGAGCCGUAGCGAAAGCGAGUCUGAAUAGGGCGUUUAGUAUUUGGUCGUAGACCCGAAACCAGGUGAUCUACCCUUGGUCAGGUUGAAGUUCAGGUAACACUGAAUGGAGGACCGAACCGACUUACGUUGAAAAGUGAGCGGAUGAACUGAGGGUAGCGGAGAAAUUCCAAUCGAACCUGGAGAUAGCUGGUUCUCUCCGAAAUAGCUUUAGGGCUAGCCUCAAG
rnacentral:rRNA from 1 species